GACGAACGCUGGCGGCGUGCUUAACACAUGCAAGUCGAACGGAAAGGCCCUGCUUUUGUGGGGUGCUCGAGUGGCGAACGGGUGAGUAACACGUGAGUAACCUGCCCUUGACUUUGGGAUAACUUCAGGAAACUGGGGCUAAUACCGGAUAGGAGCUCCUGCUGCAUGGUGGGGGUUGGAAAGUUUCGGCGGUUGGGGAUGGACUCGCGGCUUAUCAGCUUGUUGGUGGGGUAGUGGCUUACCAAGGCUUUGACGGGUAGCCGGCCUGAGAGGGUGACCGGCGACAUUGCGACUGAGAUACGGCCCAGACUCCUACGGGAGGCAGCGGUGGGGAAUAUUGCAGAAUGGGCGGAAGCCUGAUGCAGCAGCGCCGGGUGCGGAAUGACGGCUUUCGGGUUGUAAACCGCUUUCGCCUGUGACGAAGCGUGAGUGACGGUAAUGGGUAAAGAAGCACCGGCUAACUACGUG
rnacentral:rRNA from 1 species